rnacentral:lncRNA from 1 species
UACAUAUAGAUGGUUUUGAUAGGCUUCAUAUACAUAACUUAUGUUUCAUUUUGUAACGCAGAUAAGUCUGAAUAGGAAUGAGGUGCUAAUAUAGAGCAUUUUUUCCCCAAAUCUUAGCAUUCUCCCACGUGCUGGAAGAGACCAUGUGUUUGGGAGAAGUCUUCCGGUGAGGGUGGCGAAUACAUCCCAGCUUUCUAGGCAAAAGAUGCUGCCGUCAAACCUAAGAGACAGUCCCAUUAGCAUAACUCAGCAGAAAAUCUGUUGUUGUGAAGCAUUCAAUCCACAGCUUAGGAAGCAGUUUUAACCUCCUCCUUUUGUAGCCUAAUCAUUCAAGAAAUAGCAUGUGCAACCCCAGUCCAUAUUUUACUGCCCACUGUUUGAAUCAAUGAGAGAUGGCACUUUGGCGGGAGACAUAAAGACAUGAGAUGACAUUUAUGCAUGGCAAGGAAAAUCCCAGCCUGAUGAGGAACUGUGUGGUGCUGCUUAACUAUAUCAAGUAUGAUUUCCUAUAUCAAUUAUGAUUAUUAUAUACCUAGGUGAUGGAUCCAGGAAGAAAAAAAUGUUUGCAAGAUGGGGUAAUUGAGUUAUGUGAAUCUUUUUUCCCCUUUUCUGUUGUUUACAUCAACCUAUAUUUUCUUUUGUUCUCAUAUGGAUUGUGAGUGGUCAUCAGAGAAAUUCACAACAAUUUGAAUGAUGACACAUAGCUAAAUGGUAUCUGCCACUGGUUUCAAGCUGCUUUUAAAGGGGGAUGUAUAUGCUAAUUGUAAAGGCAAUUGGUUAGAUCAAUGUUCAUUUAUGUGUCUAAUAAAAUUGUUUCCAAAAGUGGAAAUCACAAUCUGACUGUGUCACUUUAUUUCUUUGUCUCAGGUCUGAGAAGUCAAAUGCUUAGGGAAAAUGCCUACAUUGCACUUCUGAAAUUUCAGAAUGUGGCAUGACUGCUGCCUGUACGUGUGAAAAGUCAGGAUGAGAGUUCACAGCAGGUUGAUGGCCUGGAGAUGAAAAGUCUGUCUGAGGACAUUUCAAAGUUGUAAAGGUAUUAUUCUCACAUGGAGUUAUUUCUCAGUGGGUGUGAACAACAGCUCCUCAUCAAGCUGGUGUAGUGCGAAAUAGAGUUUCCUGAGAAAUGAUGUGCAGACAUAUGCAAGAAGCCACAUGCAUGGGACAUGCACAGACUGUGAGCCUCGCAUCCAAGUGCUGGAACAGUUGCCAUGAAUGCAGAAGCCUACAUUGCCAGUGACCAGUGGGAGAACUGGAAUAAAAAGAGGAGUUUGGACCA